UACGGGGGGUGCUAGCGUUAUUCGGAAUCAUUGGGCGUAAAGGGCGCGUAGGCGGUCUCUUAAGUCAGAUGUGAAAGCCCUCGGCUUAACCGAGGAAGUGCAUUUGAAACUAAGGGACUUGAGUAUGGGAGAGGGAAGCGGAAUUCCUGGUGUAGCGGUGAAAUGCGUAGAUAUCAGGAGGAACACCGGUGGCGAAGGCGGCUUCCUGGCCCAAUACUGACGCUGAGGCUCGAAGGCGUGGGGAGCAAACAGG
rnacentral:rRNA from 1 species